rnacentral:rRNA from 1 species
UACGGGGGGGGCAAGCGUUGUUCGGAAUUACUGGGCGUAAAGCGCACGUAGGUGGUUUUAUAAGUCGGAUGUGAAAGCCCCGGGCUUAACCUGGGAAUUGCAUCUGAUACUGUCUGACUAGAGUAUGCUAGAGGGAAGUGGAAUUCCAGGUGUAGCGGUGAAAUGCGUAGAUAUCUGGAGGAACACCAAUGGCGAAGGCAACUUCCUGGGGCAAUACUGACACUGAUGUGCGAAAGCGUGGGGAGCAAACAGG